rnacentral:rRNA from 1 species
GAUGAACGCUGGCGGCGUGCUUAACACAUGCAAGUCGAACGAUGAAGCCCAGCUUGCUGGGUGGAUUAGUGGCGAACGGGUGAGUAACACGUGAGUAACCUGCCCUUGACUCUGGGAUAAGCCUGGGAAACUGGGUCUAAUACUGGAUAUGACUUCUCAUCGCAUGGUGGGGGGUGGAAAGAUUUAUUGGUCUUGGAUGGACUCGCGGCCUAUCAGCUUGUUGGUGAGGUAAUGGCUCACCAAGGCGACGACGGGUAGCCGGCCUGAGAGGGUGACCGGCCACACUGGGACUGAGACACGGCCCAGACUCCUACGGGAGGCAGCAGUGGGGAAUAUUGCACAAUGGGCGCAAGCCUGAUGCAGCGACGCCGCGUGAGGGAUGACGGCCUUCGGGUUGUAAACCUCUUUCAGUAGGGAAGAAGCGAGAGUGGCGGUACCUGCAGAAGAAGCGCCGGCUAACUACGUG